GGUUUGAUUCUGGCUCAGGAUGAACGCUAGCUACAGGCUUAACACAUGCAAGUCGAGGGGCAGCAUGGUCUUAGCUUGCUAAGGCCGAUGGCGACCGGCGCACGGGUGAGUAACACGUAUCCAACCUGCCGUCUACUCUUGGACAGCCUUCUGAAAGGAAGAUUAAUACAAGAUGGCAUCAUGAGUCCGCAUGUUCACAUGAUUAAAGGUAUUCCGGUAGACGAUGGGGAUGCGUUCCAUUAGAUAGUAGGCGGGGUAACGGCCCACCUAGUCUUCGAUGGAUAGGGGUUCUGAGAGGAAGGUCCCCCACAUUGGAACUGAGACACGGUCCAAACUCCUACGGGAGGCAGCAGUGAGGAAUAUUGGUCAAUGGGCGAGAGCCUGAACCAGCCAAGUAGCGUGAAGGAUGACUGCCCUAUGGGUUGUAAACUUCUUUUAUAAAGGAAUAAAGUCGGGUAUGGAUACCCGUUUGCAUGUACUUUAUGAAUAAGGAUCGGCUAACUCCGUGCCAGCAGCCGCGGUAAUACGGAGGAUCCGAGCGUUAUCCGGAUUUAUUGGGUUUAAAGGGAGCGUAGAUGGAUGUUUAAGUCAGUUGUGAAAGUUUGCGGCUCAACCGUAAAAUUGCAGUUGAUACUGGAUAUCUUGAGUGCAGUUGAGGCAGGCGGAAUUCGUGGUGUAGCGGUGAAAUGCUUAGAUAUCACGAAGAACUCCGAUUGCGAAGGCAGCCUGCUAAGCUGCAACUGACAUUGAGGCUCGAAAGUGUGGGUAUCAAACAGGAUUAGAUACCCUGGUAGUCCACACGGUAAACGAUGAAUACUCGCUGUUUGCGAUAUACUGCAAGCGGCCAAGCGAAAGCGUUAAGUAUUCCACCUGGGGAGUACGCCGGCAACGGUGAAACUCAAAGGAAUUGACGGGGGCCCGCACAAGCGGAGGAACAUGUGGUUUAAUUCGAUGAUACGCGAGGAACCUUACCCGGGCUUAAAUUGCAGAUGAAUUACGGUGAAAGCCGUAAGCCGCAAGGCAUCUGUGAAGGUGCUGCAUGGUUGUCGUCAGCUCGUGCCGUGAGGUGUCGGCUUAAGUGCCAUAACGAGCGCAACCCUUGUUGUCAGUUACUAACAGGUUCCGCUGAGGACUCUGACAAGACUGCCAUCGUAAGAUGUGAGGAAGGUGGGGAUGACGUCAAAUCAGCACGGCCCUUACGUCCGGGGCUACACACGUGUUACAAUGGGGGGUACAGAGGGCCGCUACCACGCGAGUGGAUGCCAAUCCCCAAAACCUCUCUCAGUUCGGACUGGAGUCUGCAACCCGACUCCACGAAGCUGGAUUCGCUAGUAAUCGCGCAUCAGCCACGGCGCGGUGAAUACGUUCCCGGGCCUUGUACACACCGCCCGUCAAGCCAUGGGAGCCGGGGGUACCUGAAGUGCGUAACCGCGAGGAGCGCCCUAGGGUAAAACUGGUGACUGGGGCUAAGUCGUAACAAGGUAUCC
rnacentral:rRNA from 1 species